rnacentral:lncRNA from 1 species
CGCCAAGUUCGUCGGCAUUCUGAUGGUGCUUCUCGUCCGGCCAGGGCAGAGCAGAGGAUGCCCUGUUGGUGGUGCCAGAGCAACAUGAUCACUGGAAAUUUGGAGUCAAGAAAAUUCAACCCCUCGGAUAGCUUAUGAACUGCACUCUCCGCUCUAGGAGAGCCCGGGAAUAUUGGCAGGCUGACUAAGAGUCUAGCAAUAACCGGUACUCUAAACUGCACUUUCUGGAAACCUGAAAGCUUUAUUUUGGGCUAUCCGAGUCAACAAUCUGUCAGUUCCCUCCUCCAGGAUGCAAUUACCAUCAGCACUAAAUAAUGCUGAACUUCCGACACUAGGCUACAUUCGCCAAAGGAAAGACCGGGUUUCCACAAUCCUGCAAGCAGACUUCCUCUCUCAUCUUCGGAAAUGUCCCAAUGUGGCAUCCACUGAUUAAGCGAUUCUGCGGCAGCGAAACCAUGGAGCGGAGUUCAGGAUUUCAGUCUGAUGAUUUUGUGACAGUGUUCUUCUCGAGAUGCAAAACGUCAGCAGGUCUCGGUGGGAUAUUUUUAACGGUAUCUGCUACCUGCUGAGAUUCCCCAAAAUUGAGAGAGCCGGUGGGACGGGGAAGCCGAGUUCUCUGCGGCCAAUCGGAUGGCCUCCUAUGCUACUGCAUCUCUGCUGGAGGAGCCUGAGGGAGUUGCUGAGUUUGUAUCCGUGGAUUCUUCAAUCCACCAUGGGGUCAGAGCCUGAAGAUGCAAUCAGUCUGCCCUAG